GAUAGAGGCUUCCUCAGCUUUUGGAUCGACAAUCGACAGCUGAGAGACUAUUUUUUGCUAUGGUUGACUAAAUAUGGUCAGGGAAGAGAGAGGCACAAGAGAGCCUGUUUGCCUGGGAGUGCAUGUUUCAAAUGCUUAGCUGCCUAUAAAGCUGUAACAGUUCAGCCUGUGGCCACUGAGGGAAGAAUAUAAGUUAAUCUCUGUAGUGACCAUGUGGAAGUUCUGACCUUGCUUGCAGACUUGACCUCUGGAUAUGACAAGGUAAGGUCCUGUGUUCACUGAUACUUCCCUCUUACUUCACCGACUCAUGAAAAGAAGCGCUGAUUCAGCAAAUAGAGUGAAGAAUCAAGAUGAGAUGGCUGCUGCCGAUGUGACUCUCUAGGUCAUAUCUCUCCUCCUGCUAAUGCCGCAUGACACUGAGCUUACAGGAUCUAGAAGCAAACUGCAAUAUAAGAAGAAAUUUGCUCUGAAGACUAUGAAGAAACACUAGGCCGAUCUUAGCAAUUUUUGAAAUACACUCUGUAAAUCCUCACUCUGUAAACCCUAUGAAUGUCUUGAAAAAAGAACCAAACCAGGACAAAAUUCAACAGAUAACUGGUCAAUGUUUAGAAGUGUAUGUCCACCAAGAACAAGGAACCAUAAAUGGCACUACUCUCAUGCCUCAGGUAAAUUUGUUAUAAUGUUUAUUAGUCUCUGACAGUCUUUGCAAAUGAUCUUCCAUUGCUCUCCAUCAGUAAGAUAAAUGCUUUACUAACAAAUGAGAAAAUAAAACAUUUCAUGUUUUUACAGCUACCAACUUAAUAUUACCUACUCAGAGUACAUACUUCUUUAUGUACCCAUAUGAACAUACAAUGCUAUGGAAUGUAAAGAAGUAUGUAUUUUUGGUAGGCAAUAAACCGCCAAGAGGGAACUAAACUGCAGCCAUCUGAAUGAUCUUUCUAUGACAAAUUAACCUAAUAUCAAAGAGAUGACCUUUGGCAAUACUACAGCAGAAAAAAAGUACCUACUACUUACAGAUGGAAACUAAAUGUUAAGAUUUCUAUUUUGUGAAGAAAAAAAGUUCUACUGAAGUAGAUUUAAAAUUACCAUGAGGCUUCUUUAAAGUCUUUUAAGUUUAAAGUAUACUAUAUUUCACAAUUUUAAAUUAAGCACCAACAUGAUUAAAAGUUGAAUACAAAAGAGAAAACAAUAUUGCUAGCAAAAAAGAAUGACUGAUACCCAUGGCCUAUUUUCUGUCUCCACAAUUUGAUCUUAAUGUAUCACAUUAGUGGGGCUGACUGAUUUGUUAAGAAAAACAAAUAUAACAAAAGCUGACUUCAUUUACAUUUUAA